rnacentral:rRNA from 1 species
UACGUAGGGGGCAAGCGUUGUCCGGAUUUAUUGGGCGUAAAGAGCGUGUAGGCGGCCAGGUAGGUCAGCUGUGAAAACUCGAGGCUCAACCUCGAGACGUCGGUUGAAACCACCUGGCUAGAGUCCGGAAGAGGAGAGUGGAAUUCCUGGUGUAGCGGUGAAAUGCGCAGAUAUCAGGAAGAACACCCGUGGCGAAGGCGGCUCUCUGGGACGGUACUGACGCUGAGACGCGAAAGCGUGGGGAGCGAGCCGG